ACGGGUUGAUAUUCCCGUACCCGUGUGCGUGCGACAAGUGAUGAAUCUUAUGGUACUAACCGCCCGCUUGUUUCUACUGGUCUUUUUGGUUGGUGGUUUCAGGUGCGUGGGAUCUUCGUGGGUAGUAGUCAAGUGAUGGGGUGACGCAGAGUGGUAGCUAGGCUUCCUUAUUGGAUUGGAGUGCAAGCGUGUGGCCUGUGGGGUUGGGAAAUCCGCCCCGCAUUAAGGGUGAGGCGUGAUGCGGACACCAUGAUUGUGGUGGUAGUUAGUGUGCCUGUGCUGCCUAGAAAAGCCUCUAGCGAGUGCGUGCAUGGCCCGUACCGGAAACCGACACAGGUGGUCAGGUAGAGAAUACUAAGGCGUUCGGGUGAACUGUGGUUAAGGAACUCGGCAAAAUGCCCCCGUAACUUCGGGAGAAGGGGGACCAUUACUAGUUGCUGACAGCAAGAUGGCUGGUGGUGGUCGCAGAGGAGAGAGGGAAGCGACUGUUUAUUAAAAACACAGGUCCGUGCGAAAACGUGGAAGUUGAGGUAUACGGACUGACGCCUGCCCGGUGCUGGAAGGUUAAGAGGACUCGUGAGCAUGCCUUUAUGGUGUGCGAGGCGGAGAAUUGAAGCCCCAGUAAACGGCGGUGGUAACUAUAACCAUCCUAAGGUAGCGAAAUUCCUUGUCGGGUAAGUUCCGACCUGCACGAAUGGCGUAACGACUUCCCUGCUGUCUCAACCACAGGCCCGGUGAAAUUGCAGUACGAGUAAAGAUGCUCGUUUCGCGCGGCAGGACGAAAAGACCCCGGGACCUUUACUAUAGCUUGGUAUUGGUGUUUGGUCAUGCUUGUGUAGGAUAGGUGGGAGACUGUGAAACCGCAACGCUAGUUGUGGUGGAGUCGCAGGUGAAAUACCACUCUGGUGUGAUUGGGUACCUGAACCUUGGCCCGUGAUCCGGGUUGGGGACAGUGCCUGGUGGGUAGUUUAACUGGGGCGGUUGCCUCCUAAAUGGUAACGGAGGCGCCCAAAGGUUUCCUCAGUCUGGUUGGCAAUCAGAUGGUGAGUGUAAGUGUAUAAGGGAGCUUGACUGUGACACUGACGGGUGGAGCAGGUGCGAAAGCAGGGACUAGUGAUCCGGCACCGACGUGUGGUUGUGGUGUCGCUCAACGGAUAAAAGGUACCCCGGGGAUAACAGGCUGAUCUUCCCCAAGAGUUCAUAUCGACGGGAUGGUUUGGCACCUCGAUGUCGGCUCGUCGCAUCCUGGGGCUGGAGUAGGUCCCAAGGGUUGGGCUGUUCGCCCAUUAAAGCGGCACGCGAGCUGGGUUUAGA
rnacentral:rRNA from 1 species